rnacentral:ncRNA from 1 species
UCAAAAGCGAUGAUGGAAACGAGUAGGCUCAUUAGAGGCUGUCAGCGAACCUGGGAGAGUGUGAGCCGGGGCAGAUCGGUGAGCCGAAAAUCCUUCCGGAGCUGCAAACUGAACGCGAACCGACAGGUUCGUCAGUAGGGGCGCCGGCCUCGCCAGCCGUUAUCCGCGGCGCAGGUAUCAACGGGAAACCGGGCGUACCUGGCAGAGUGCCUGCCUGUGGGCAGGAAUCAGGGUGGUACCGCGAGAAGCCCUCUCGUCCCUGAA